AUUGAACGCUGGCGGCAGGCCUAACACAUGCAAGUCGAACGAGUGGCGGACGGGUGAGUAAUUUCUGGGAAACUGCCUGAUGGAGGGGGAUAAAUACUGGAAACGGUAGCUAAUACCGCAUACCAUCGGAUGUGCCCAGAUGGGAUUAGCUAGUAGGUUGGGUAAAGGCUCACCUAGGCGACGAUCCCUAGCUGGUCUGUGAGGAUGACCAGCCACACUUGAACUGCGACACGGUCCAGACCCCUACGGGAGGCACAAGUGUGGAAUAUUGCACAAUGGGCGCAAGCCUGAUGCAGCCAUGCCGCUUGUAUGAAGAAGGCCUUCGGGUUUUAAAGUACUUUCAGCGGGGAGGCGUUACCCGCAGAAGAAGCACCGGCUAACUCCGUGCCAGCGGCCGCGGUAAUAC
rnacentral:rRNA from 1 species